GACGAAGGUGGCGACCGUUGUUCGGAAUCACUGGGCAUAAAGAGCACGUAGGCGGCAAGGUAUGUCGGGUGUGAAAUCCCUCGGCCUAACCGAGGAAUUGCGCCCGAAACUACCUUGCUUGAGGAUGGAAGGGGAGCGUGGAAUUCCUGGUGGAGCGGUGAAAUGCGUUGAUAUCAGGAGGAAUACCGAUGGCGAAGGCAGGUCUCUGGGCUAUAACUGACGCUCAUGCACGAAAGCGUGGGGAGCAAACAGG
rnacentral:rRNA from 1 species